CGACCUUGGACUGGCCCUUGAACUCCAGCUUCUCAGUCCUGAUCUCCACUCUCCCACCACCUGCACCCAGACAGAUUUCAACAUCUUGCCGAGACAAGUUUCAGAGCAUUCCACAGAGGACCACCAAAGUGACACAGAGCUUCCUGGCCACAUGUGUGCUGUUGCUAUGAAGAAUCAAGCUCAAGCAAUCCCAGAGUUUCACAGCUGGGAGUGUGACUGUGAGAGUGUACCAGCUCGCUCCAUCACCAAGACUCAACAAGCCCAGCAUGCCAGAAUGCAGUCUCAUUAUCAAAGCUCAGCUCAUUUUUUGCCAUCAGCAGAACGAUGGAUCUAAGUGCAAUAGACCCAUGUGCAGAAUGAUGUGAUUAUCCAACAAUCCCAACACUUGGCCAGCACAGAUUCUGGCUCUAGAUUUUCAGUUGCUUAAGUUCUCGCAACCUUUGAUUAAACUGCUUCAACAAUGCAACAAAGCACUGGCUGCCAACUUGAACUUGUUUACCCUGGCGGUGCCGUUUCAUCCUAUAACACAAGUCCUAUUGACAACAAGUCA